CCAAGCUGCAAACUCGGCGAAGCACAAAGAGUGCCGGGGCUU
rnacentral:tRNA from 1 species